CAGAGUCAAUGUGGAGGCUAUAUACAGGGGGUACCAGUACAGAGUCAAUGUGGAGGCUAUAUACAGGGGGUACCAGUACAGAGUCAAUGUGGAGGCUAUAUACAGGGGGUACCAGUACAGAGUCAAUGUGGAGGCUAUAUACAGGGGGUACUGGUACAGAGUCAAUGUGGAGGCUAUAUACAGGGGGUACCAGUACAGAGUCAAUGUGGAGGCUAUAUACAGGGGGUACCGGUACAGAGUCAAUGUGGAGGCUAUAUACAGGGGGUACCAGUACAGAGUCAAUGUGGAGGUUAUAUACAGGGGGUACCGGUACAGAGUCAAUGUGGAGGCUAUAUACAGGGUAUUACGGUACAGAGUCAAUGUGGAGGCUAUAUACAGGGUAUUACGGUACAGAGUCAAUGUGGAGGCUAUAUACAGGGGGUACCAGUACAGAGUCAAUGUGGAGGCUAUAUACAGGGUAUUACGGUACAGAGUCAAUGUGGAGGCUAUAUACAGGGGGUACCAGUACAGAGUCAAUGUGGAGGCUAUAUACAGGGGGUACCAGUACAGAGUCAAUGUGGAGGCUAUAUACAGGGGGUACCAGUACAGAGUCAAUGUGGAGGCUAUAUACAGGGGGUACCAGUACAGAGUCAAUGUGGAGGCUAUAUACAGGGGGUACCGGUACAGAGUCAAUGUGGAGGCUAUAUACAGGGGGUACCAGUACAGAGUCAAUGUGGAGG